AUGAGGUUUACUUUGCCGGUGAAGAGACUAAGGCCCAGAGAACUCAAGUUCUCACUCAAGUCACAAAACCGUGAAACGGAAAGAUCUUCAAAAAGGGGACUACAGUUUCUUCCGUCCUCAGCCAUGAGCUUGGCUCCUGUCACCAUGCUUGUGUUUAUGAUACUUUUUGCCCCGAGAGGAACCGGAGCCCAGUCAGUGACCCAGCCUGAUGUCCACAUCACUGUCUCUGAAGGAGCCCCUCUGGAGCUGAGGUGCAACUACUCGUCUUCUGUUCAGGUGUAUCUCUUCUGGUACGUGCAGCACCCCAACCAAGGACUCCGGCUUCUCUUGAAGUACAUAUCAGGGGACAUCCUGGUGAAAGGCACCGAAGGUUUCGAGGCUGAAUUUAGGAAGAGUGAAAAGGCCUUCCACCUGAGGAAACCUGCAGUCCAGUGGAGCGACGCAGCCAAGUACUUCUGUGCUGUGAGUGACACAGUGCCUGGGACUGCAGGGGAUGCUGAACACCAACUUCUGGUGAAUGUGAGGCUUCCAGUGACUCAAGGGAUCAACCUGGGGCACUUUCAGUGA